UGGGAUGUCAGCUUACCCUGAAAAAGAAGUGGAAAAGGGAAAGGAAAAAGUCGCGGGGAGGAUACGGCUGAGAGAGCAGAAAAAGACUGAGUAGGCGGGAGUGAGGGAAAAAGACAUAAAGAAAGAGACUGAAUGAGGGAGGGUUCCAACAGGGAACUGCUCCCUUCAUGUAUCGCCUUGAAGUGAGCCGUUAACAGCUGUUCUGGCGUGUCGAUGACUGAUCGCCGUUUCCUGUUGUUGAUGUUUUGAGGGCAGGUUUCCCGUUGCGAGGCCGAGCAGUAGCAUAAAUCUCCAAGCCCGAGAGGCGGAGUCGACAGUUGCCAACGCAUAACUUCAUCAAAGCGAGGGUCUUUAGCAAAACAACGGUCAAACAUUACACCAGAAAGGAGCAGCUCCUUUUUUUCUGAGGAAGGACCUCACAGGUUCCUGCUAUUUAUAUUCCCGGCCUUUUAAAAUCCCGGCACACUGUGGGAUCAGAGAAUUGGGAGCCUAACGGUGGAGAGCAAACUGCAUACAGAACAUAAAGGCACAAAGUCACAGAGGGGGUGCCCCCCAAACAGGAUGUCCUGCCGUGGAUGAACUUUUGGGCCGAAGAGUUCGAGAGGGUGAAGAGUUCAAGGAAAACCGAGCCGGCGACAAGAGAGAGCAGAGGGAGAGGUGUCUGAGGAGACAGGGGUGAUUGAAAGGGGACGGGACAGGGGUCAGGGAGAGGCCAGCGCAAGGCCAAGAGCUCACGGCGCACCAGGCCUGGCUGGGCCUGGCUGGAUCCCUGCAUGGCAGCUGUUUCUCCCCCCGGGCUGAGUGAGGGCCGCGGCCCUGCUGCUCAGAGUGCUGAUCUAGGAGCAGUUUUGCCUUUUAACUCAUAAUGGAUUAGGAUGUGGACUCGGGGGGGGAUUGCUGAUCCUAGAUCAGUUCUUCUGCUCUGAGAGGCUUUAUCAAUAUGGACCCCAUCUUCAUGAGUGGAUUCUUACAGCUGCAGCCUGAUUUGAGUGAAAGGAGUAUUUUUCAUGUCAUGACCUGGUCACAGUCACUGCUGGACAGGUAUAGGCUGGUCUGGACAUGUGGGGUGAAUACAAAAUUUCAUUCUAAGGAUCUAUAUGUUAUAUGGCCUUCAAUGAAUUCCCUUUUCUCCGCCCCCCCCCCUCUCUCUCUCACACACACGAUAGAUUAAAAGUGAAAAGUGAGAAUGAAAACCAGGUGUGUGAGCUUUUUUGGAGGGGGUGAUUUAGCUGUUGUCGGCACCCCCAGCUGGGCUCUCUGUGGUCAGGGUUGACAUGGGGGUCAAAGUGGAGGCUGCUGGGGUUGCUGUUUGUUGGUGUGGACCCGGGCGUAAAGCUAUGCCCCAGGGAAUUCUGGGAGCUCAGCAGAGAGGCGGAAGUCAGUGAGAGAGCUGAAUCCAUAUCUUCUCCUCUAACCUCUUCCUCUGUGCAUAUUUUCUCAUUUUAUGUGAGAUUUGCAAAGGCAUAUUCCUCCUAAGACCUCAUUUUUGUCCCCUGUAGGGAACAUGAGUCUCUGUCAUUAAUAUCAAGAACCAUAUAUUCCACUAUGCUGAAAUCUACCCUAACA